UCCGUAGGCGGGCAAUUAAGUCAGAGGUGAAAUCCCACAGCUCAACUGUGGAACUGCCUUUGAUACUGGUUGUCUUGAGUUACAGUGAAGUAGAUAGAAUAUGUAGUGUAGCGGUGAAAUGCAUAGAUAUUACAUAGAAUACCGAUUGCGAAGGCAGUCUACUAACUGUAUACUGACGCUAAUGGACGAAAGCGUGGGGACUAACAGGAUUAGAUACCCUGGUAGUCC
rnacentral:rRNA from 1 species